rnacentral:lncRNA from 1 species
CAGGAGCCCGCGGUGAUUCAUUGCUCCAAUUAGGGGCUCUGCAGCCCGUGGCUCGGGCUGUCUGAAGGGUCUCCUUUGGGACCCACGAAACCCAUCAGCCGCUGCCGCUGAUCUUUAAGAAAAGGUCAAGCCGGACGCGCUAGUGCCAGACCUAAGGAAACCGAAACUCUCACAGUCUCUGGUCUGGACACAGAGCUAACUGUGUGGUGCCAGAUGUUCAAAACACCCAGGCACCUUAGUUUUUACUCUAUGUUCCCAAGUCGUUCCAGCACCAAACCUGGCUGCUCAGAUGUACAAAGAAAGCUCCAACUGGACAGCCCUAUCCACCUGUGCCUGUCAAGAGUGCCUGCAUCUGGAUUCAGGGUACCCAGCAGAACCAUCCAUCCCCUGCCUGCAGCUGUGGAGGGAGGGGCCACGCCCCUUCCCUGCCUGUUACUUUCCAAGGCCUGAAUAACCUUGCAUCUCCCAGCAGCCCUGGCUCAGGGCAGAGAAAGCACAGCCUACAGGUUCCAUGGAGAACAUAACACAGAAGGACAGAGGAUCUGGUCGCAGCCCACAUUUGCAGCUGCCUGUGGGGGCAUCUCCCAAACCGCCCCCCACCCCCACCCCCACCCCCAGCUGUCUCCAGGUCUCAGCACCACACGGGGAACUGUGUCUGCUUUCCAGCUGCUUCUCCCAAGAGG